rnacentral:lncRNA from 1 species
CCGAGGCACCGGAGACCCGGAAACCUGGCGCGGGGCGGGAUUGUGCCGCCAGCCUCCGAACUUUCCUCGCACUUCCUGUAACCUUAGAGACCAAGCCCGGGGCUGUGAUAGCGAGAAGUGUCUGAAGUGAGUGCGAGUGAAGGUGGGUUACAGCACAGGCAAGCCGGAAUCGAUCAGCAAGGGAAUUGCAUCAAGUGUUGUCCCACCGUGAACGGACACAUGGAGCCCCGCAGGCGGGAGCCACAGGACUGGGUGGUUUCAGCACCCUCCCCAUCCAGCCCUGGAGUGCCC